AUUGAACGCUGGCGGAAUGCUUUACACAUGCAAGUCGAACGGCAGCACGGGGGCAACCCUGGUGGCGAGUGGCGAACGGGUGAGUAAUACAUCGGAACGUGCCCAGUCGUGGGGGAUAACGUAGCGAAAGCUACGCUAAUACCGCAUACGAUCUACGGAUGAAAGCGGGGGAUCGCAAGACCUCGCGCGAUUGGAGCGGCCGAUGGCAGAUUAGGUAGUUGGUGGGGUAAAGGCUCACCAAGCCUUCGAUCUGUAGCUGGUCUGAGAGGACGACCAGCCACACUGGGACUGAGACACGGCCCAGACUCCUACGGGAGGCAGCAGUGGGGAAUUUUGGACAAUGGGCGAAAGCCUGAUCCAGCCAUUCCGCGUGCAGGAUGAAGGCCCUCGGGUUGUAAACUGCUUUUGUACGGAACGAAACGGCCUUUUCUAAUACAGAGGGCUAAUGACGGUACCGUAAGAAUAAGCACCGGCUAACUACGUG
rnacentral:rRNA from 1 species